rnacentral:lncRNA from 1 species
CUUGUCCAUUUGCACCUGGUGCAUGCAAUAUGAAGGCCAUUAUAACAAUAGAGAUGUACAAGGUUUUCAUGAAGUUGAUUCAACCGGAAAAAAGAUAACGAUGUCCAUCUGCCGUUUUCAUGAAUUUCUAUCUUUCUUUUGUUUAAUAAGCUAGCUGGAACCUUCCCCUAGAAUGUAACUACCAUAAAGUUAUCUAAUCAAGUCACCUCGACCAAUCAACACCUUUAUAUAUAUAAUUAUGAGCG